rnacentral:rRNA from 1 species
GAUGAACGCUGGCGGCGUGCCUAAUACAUGCAAGUCGAACGAACGGACGCGAAGCUUGCUUCUCUGAUGUUAGCGGCGGACGGGUGAGUAACACGUGUAUAACCUACCUAUAAGACUGGGAUAACUUCGGGAAACCGGAGCUAAUCCCGGAUAAUAUUUUGAACCGCAUGGUUCAAAGGAAAAAGACGGUCUUGCUGUCACUUAUAGAUGGAUCCGCGCUGGAUUAGCUAGUUGGUAAGGUAACGGCUUACCAAGGCAACGAUGCAUAGCCGACCUGAGAGGCUGAUCGGCCACACUGGAACGGAGACACGGUCCAGACUACUACGGGAGGCAGCAGUAGGGAACGUUACGCAAUGGGCGAAAGCCUGACGGAGCAAGGGCGCGUGAGUGAUGAAGGUCUUCGGAGCGUAAAACUCGGUUAUUAGGGAAGAACAGAUGUGUAAGUAACCGUGCACAUCGUGACGGUACCUAGUCAGAAAGCCACGGCUAACUACGUG